rnacentral:rRNA from 1 species
GACGAACGCUGGCGGCGUGCUUAACACAUGCAAGUCGAGCGGAAAGGCCCUGCUUGGUCCUGGAGCGGGGAACGGGUGAGUGACACGUGCGUAAGCUUCCCCAGGCUUUGGGAUGACCACGUCAAACAGGGGCUGAUACCAGAUAUGACCUGGUGCCGCAGGGGGAUGGGGGGGAAGGUUUUUCGGGCUGGGAUGGGCUCGCGGGCUAUCAGCUUGUGGGUGGGGUGGUGGCCUACCAAGGCGAUGACGGGUAGCCGGCCUGAGAGGGCGACCGGCCACACUGGGACUGAGACACGGCCCAGACUCCUACGGGAGGCAGCAGUGGGGAAUAUUGCACAAUGGGCGGAAGCCUGAUGCAGCGACGCCGUGUGAGGGAUGAAGGCCUUCGGGUUGUAAACCUCUUUCAGCAGGGACGAAGCGUGAGUGACGGUACCUGCAGAAGAAGCGCCGGCUAACUACGUG